rnacentral:tRNA from 1 species
GCCUGGGUGGCUUAGUGGUUGAGCAUCUGUCUUUGGCUCAGGUCGUGAUCCUGGGGUCCUGGGAUCGAGUCCCUCAUCAGGCU